AUAGUAAAUUUUAACAUAUUAAUUUGUUAGAGGGUAUAAUAUUUUUUCUAAAAGAUAAUAAAACAAUACCUCCUAGUAAAGAUGGUGUAUAUUCAUACUUCAUUUAACUUUUUUGAAAAACUAACUUUCAUUGAACUAAAAGAAGCAAACGGUAACUCCCUUUUAAAAAAAAGGGUCUUCGUUCGGUUAAAGUUUUGUAAGUCGAUACCAUCCAGGAGUCAGCUCAACUUCAGUGUAGACGAUUUCUUCAGUGCAACUUCUUCAAUCAAGUCUGUGCUGUUCGAAACAAAAUUUACAGCCAAAAAAGAUAAUGACAAUUGUUUGAAUAAAGAACAUCAGAAAACUCAAUAGCGCAGCAACAAACCUGCUGAGAUAAAACUACGUAAGCAAAGUAAAGGAGACCUAUAAAUGGGACAACUUAUUCCAAUCUAGCAUAAUGAAAUCAAAACCAGAAUCGGAGCGGAUCAAUGCCACUUUACGGAAGGAGUGGAGUCCAGAAAGAGUAUUUGUAAAAAUAGUAUUGUUAAUUAAGAAAAAUAUUCCAAAUGUAAAUGUAUAUACUCUUCUUAGAGAAAGUCGGGUGGUGCCCGGCUUAAGAGCAUUGACUGCGGCAACAUGUUUCUCAUCCAUAUUAAAAUUGAAACAAGCUCGACGCAUCGAUGUUCUCACAGACCCAACCACACUGGAAAUAGUAAAUAUAACUAUUGCAGAUAAAGAAUAAGUACAUUAUAAUAUACCUACGUAGUUAAGCAAUAAAAGGUAAGCGCAGCGUUGGACGUCCAUCCUCAAGGUGGACAGACGACAGCUUUAAGGUCGCAGGGAGCUGCUGGAUGCAGGUCGCUUCCCACCAACCUGUCUGGAAGUCAUUGAGGGAGGCCUAUCUUCAGCAGUAUGGCUGAUAUGAUGAUGGAGGAAUAAAAUAAUGUAGGGGAGCUGGGCGAAAUAAUAUAUUUAUAAGAAGUCUAUGCAAUAAGCAAGCUAUGCUGUGGCAAGCUAGUCAGUGGACUACUCCUGUUAUUGAGCGUAAUGUCUAUGGUUUAAGAAUAUUUCUAAAACGUUAUUAAGUUAAUUUUAUUAUUCCGCGUUUGUGUAUGUAAAGUAUGAAAUUAUACACAAUAAAUUUCAAUUAUAA